rnacentral:lncRNA from 1 species
CUGCCUAUUCACUCUCAUCAACUCACCUCUGCUGCCGCUCCGUCUCCUGGAUUAUUCUGUUUUCACCUUGACUCUCGGAUACUGCUGUUGAAGGGGUGACGCGCAGCAUCCUCUCUACAAUAAUGAACAGACUGCAGAAUGAUUUUCAGUUGAACAUGAGUAGGUAACACCAGCGUCACUCACCUGUUUGAUCGGCCACUCUUUUCUUCAUGGGGGUCCCUACCUCUAUGGACUGAUCCCUGCUGUGAACUAUGUACUAUUUGGGGGGGAACAGCAGAAAUAGCCACAGUGGACCUCCAAGACCAUUCACCUGUUGUGCAUAUUAUAAUUGUACAUUGUUGUUAUUCUAUGAACACAAUAUUUAUUGAG